GCGGAAGUUGCAGUGAGCCAAGAUCACAAAAGAGAGAAAAGAAAAAAGUCUAUCGGGCUAAUGGGAAGCUGCCAGGGAAGAUAGGGUCUUACCAUUCAGAGUAACAUGCAAAGGCCCUAGGUUUCUUCCCCAACAGUUUCCCACUAGCCCAAAAGCUUUUUUUUAGAGGGGGGUGGGCAGGGGGACAGGAGUCAGUUGACUUUCUAUUAGAGAAUACGUGAAUACUCCAGCUUGAUGGAUUUGCUAACAUAUAUAGGACAGCUUCCUAAGUAUUAAAAACCAUAGAGAAAAUAGUGACAUGGGGUUUAUUUCCCCCAUCCUUCAACCUGGGUGGCCCUGACUUACUUUCAACAGUUGCAUGCAACAGAAGUGAUGCUGGGAGAGUUUCAGAGCCUAGGUCUCAAGAGACUUUGCAGGAAGCUUGAACUAGCUUGUCUGAGGACAAGAGUACAUGAAACAAAGAAGAGCUGUUUUAUAAUAGCUCAGAUCCCUAAAACCAGUCCUAAUUUGAGCUGUCAGAUGAUUGUAGCUACACAAGUGGCCUCAGGGGAGACUAGCAGAACUACCAAACUAAACUCAGUCCAAAUUGCUGACUCACAGAAUUGUAAGCGAAUAAAACGGUUGUUUUAAGCAGCUAAAUUUUAGAGUGGUUUGUUAUUUAAUAAUAGAUUAUCUGGUGAUUAUAUAAUUAAGAUAGUUUUACAUAUAUAAAUUUCAUUAUAGUCUUUUGAGAAAACAUAUAAUAUUGAUGUAGGAAUUUGAAAGAUUGUCUCAAUUGAAUCAUAACCUUUUUGACAGAACAUAUUUAUCUUUUUUUAGGCUCUAAAAAUCACAAAGAUACUGACGGACCUUCACAAACACAACAUGCCUAAAUUUGGCUCCUCAAUCCUGCAUCAUAAAUUAUCAGUAACAGAAAAGCAAAAGGAUACAUUUUCAAAGCACAACAUGGGCAAUGAACCCCUCUUGACUUAAAAAUAUUUACCAUUUGUGCUUAAUUUAAACCUAUCUAAAAUGUAUCAUAAUCCAGCUCAACAUACUUAAGCUGUGAUCCAUGCAACAGUCCUCUAUGUUGAUGAGCCAAAGUAGCAUUACUAACUCUUAAUACUGAUAAUGUUUCAUGUGUUUCCAAGUUAGAUGUUGUUAGUCCUUACUGGUGACAAUCUGAAGACCAUUCCUGGCCGGGCGCGGUGGCUCAUGCCUGUAAUCCCAGCACUUUGGAAGGCCAAGGCAGGUGGAUCACCUGAGGUCAGGAGUUCAAGACCAACCUGGCCAACAUGACAAAACCCCGUCUCUACUAAAAAUACAGUAAGUUAGCCAGACAUGGUAGUGGGUGCCUGUAAUCCCUGCUACUUGGGAGGCUGAGGCAGGAGAAUUGCUUGAACCUAGGAGGUGGAGGUUGCAGUGACCUUAGAUCACGCCACUGCACUCCAGCCUGGGAACAAGAGCGAAACUCCAUCUCAAAAUAAAUAAAUAAGUAAAUAAAUAAAUAAAGACUGUUCUUUACCAUCAUUAGCUAAGGUUGGUCAUCUUCAGCAAGUUAUACUUUUUUACCUACCUACAACUAUCUUCAUAUACUCCCCAAAUAUUUUCUCUAUCUUGAAACUGUAGGAGGAAAAGAAGGGCGUUUGACUGCCAAUCACUAUCUCAUUUAACCUUUCCAACAACCUUCUGACAUAGAUAUUAUUACCUCUACUUUACUGAUGAAGGAAGGAAAGAAAACUCAGUUACUCAGCUAACUUAGUGAUUUAGUCAUAAUUUGAACCCACAUCUAUCUGACUCCAAAACCUGUAUUUUUUCCACUAUAACACCAUGCCUUCCAACUUUGAGCACUUGUAACUUUUUAUUAUACUUUUUAAUAAUCAUUAGUCAGCCAUAAUUAAAGAUAUAAAUUAAAUGAUGCCUGUUUUGGGUUUAAUCUGAGCAUGACUGGUUUUAAGUAGGAACUCUGGAACUGUUUAAACCUACUUGUUUAUUAAAAAGAAAAAAUUAGGUUGUAGCAGCAACUACUGUAUUCCUUUUGAACAGAACCAAAAGGAUAACUCUGUCUUGAAGAUUUUAUUAAAAUAUUUCACUGAGAAAUGAGAAGGGAACUAAAAUAAAAUGAAUCAUAUAUCUUAAGACGCCUUACUGAUAUUUUAAGAUGAAGUAUAACAUACAUACAGAUCAAGAGUGUUCAGUUCAACGAAUUAUCACAAAGUGAGCAUACCUGCAUACUUAAGACAUACAUUAUCAGCAUCUCAAAAGGCCCCCCCUCACUAUCCCUCCCAAUGAUUACUCCUUUAUUCUUCCCCAAAUAUCACUACUAUCCCAACUCCUAACACAAUAGGUUAGUUUUGCCCGGUUUAAAAUUCUAUAUAACAGGCCAGGCGCAGUGGCUCACCCACAAUGGAAUAUUAUUAAGCAGUAAAAUAAAUAAACUGUGAAGCCAUGAAAAGACAUGAAGAGGGCCAGGCACAGUGGCUCACGCCUAUAAUCCCAGCACUUUUGGGAGGCCAAGGCAGGAGCACUGCCUGAGCCCAGGAGUUCAAGACCAAUCUCUAUUUUAAACAAAAACAAAAGAAGAAGAUACUGACGAAGAGACCUAAAUGCAUAUUGUUAAGUGAAGAUGCCAGUCUGAAAGGACUAUAUACUAUGAUUCCAACCACAUGACAUUCUGGAAAGGUAAAACUAUGACUGUAAAAAGAUCAGUGGUAGCCAGAGGUUCAGAGGGAUGAGGCAGAGAUGAGUAAGUGGAACAUGGGACAUUUUUAGGUCAAUGAAACCAUUCUGCACGAUUCUAGAAUAGUGGAUGUAUAAUGUUAUGCAUUUGGCAAAACCCAUAGAACUGUCCAACACAAAGGGUGAAUCCUAAUGUGAACUAUGGACUUUAGUUAAUAAUGUAUCAACACUGGUUCCUCAGUGAUAACCAACACACCACACUAAUGCAAGAUACUAACAGAGGAAACCGUGGGGGACAGUAUAAAUGGGAACUGUGUAUUUUUUUGAGCAAUUUUUCUGUAAAUCCAAAACUGUUCUAAAAAAAAAAAUCUUUCAAAAAACUCAAAUUUACAUAGCCACAUAUAGUUAGUGGCCAGUAUUGAACAGCAUAGGCCCAUAUAAAUAGACUGAUGUGGGAAGAAAAUGAGAAUGGCAUAUGAAGAAUUACUUCAUUUCUGACUACCACUCCCAAAAGUACACAUACAGUUAACCCUAAACUAUAUAAGGUUUUAUAUGUAGCUUCUAUAUUAACAUUUUACAGUAGAACUUGAUCAAAAAUAUUCUGGAUGAAUAUCUUUCUAAUUUUUGUUAAACAGAAUUUAAGGAGGAAAAUAACAUUCAUUAAAGGUGUCAGGUACUAUACUAAAGAUAUUAUUAUUUACAUUUCCAAACAACCUUUAGAUAAAAGUAUUACCAUUUCUGUUUUUAGAGAUGAGGAAUUAUAAUGCUUAAGUCAUAGAAGAUGAGAACCUAGAUAUACUGGACUCCAAAGUGUAUGUUCUAUUUUUUUUAGCGAGGUCUAUAUUCUAAUAUACACCACUCUACUGUAUAUAUGUUUAUGAUUCCCAAAAUUACAAACAUAAUUUUCCCACAAUGAAUUUUCCAUCAGGAGCAAUACUUUAUAUAUAGCACAAUAUAACAGUUAAUGAUAUACUCAGAGUCUAAUGAGGUGUUGUAUAGGUAACUGCUGUCCCUAUUUUAAACAGCCUCAGGCUAAUGUGACUUUUUUCCUGCCACCCAGCUGGCCCUCCAUCCUACCUAUAUGGCUCUACUCCAACAUCUAAUUUGCACCUUUUAAUCUGCUGUGGGACGAGAAAAUAGAUAAUCAAAUUCCUUGAAUUAUGUACAAAGCAAGAGAACUUCUAAACCAAUAUGUUAGUGCAGAUGAUUUAGUUCAUUAAUUUUUCUGAUAAUUAUAGGCCUUUUUUUUUUUUUUGGCCUACUUCUUAAUCUAAACUGAGACCUGGACAAAUUAAAUACUGUUCUAUAAUAAAGCUAAGAAUUUAGUGAUUCUGUUUCAUUCAAAAGUUUUCCACUACACUUUUUUUUUUUUUGAGACAAGUCU
rnacentral:lncRNA from 1 species